rnacentral:rRNA from 1 species
GUCUACAGCCAUGCUACCCUGAACGAACCCAAUCCCGGCUGAUCUCGGAAGCUAAGCAGGGUCGGGCCUGGUUACCAACCCUGACCUAAUCAGACCCCAUUAUUAAUCUGUUAGGAGGCAGGGCAUGGAGCCU